rnacentral:rRNA from 1 species
GAUGAACGCUGGCGGCGUGCCUAAUACAUGCAAGUCGAGCGAACGGACGAGAAUCUUGCUUCUUUGAUGUUAGCGGCGGACGGGUGAGUAACACGUGGAUAACCUACCUAUAAGACUGGGAUAACUUCGGGAAACCGGAGCUAAUACCGGAUAAUAUUUUGAACCGUAUGGUUCAAAAGUGAAAGACGGUCUUGCUGUCACUUAUAGAUGGUUCCGCGCUGCAUUAGCUAGUUGGUAAGGUAACGGCUUACCAAGGCAACGAUGCAUAGCCGACCUGAGAGGGUGAUCGGCCACACUGGAAGUGGAACACGGUCAAGACUCCUACGGGAGGCAGCAGUAGGGAAUCUGCCGCAAUGGGCGAAAGCCUGACGGAGCAACGCCGCGUGAGAGAUGAAGGUCUUCGGAUCGUAAAACUCUGUUAUUAGGGAAGAACAUAUGUGUAAGUAACUGUGCACAUCGUGACGGUACCUAAUCAGAAAGCCACGGCUAACUACGUG